GGAAAGGUGGCCGAGUGGUUGAAGGCUCCGGUCUUGAAAACCGGCGUAGGUUAACUACCGAGGGUUCGAAUCCCUCUCUUUCCU
rnacentral:tRNA from 1 species